GUAUUGAUUCGCGCGUGAUCGCGCAAAGAACAUUCUACACUAGGGUGUUUGAUGUUUAAAAACGUGAGCACCCCCCUCCGAGGAAGGGGGGACGCACGCGGUGAUGCACAAAGGGGUGAGAUGGAUGUGUGAGAGUGCUCGGGCGUGCACGACCUUUAAAAAGGUCAGCGACAGCCCGGGCACCUCCGUUGUAUGAUAAUGAUCCUUCCGCAGGUUCACCUACGGAAA
rnacentral:misc_RNA from 1 species